rnacentral:rRNA from 1 species
UACGUAGGGGGCAAGCGUUGUCCGGAAUCAUUGGGCGUAAAGCGCGUGUAGGCGGCUGAGUAAGUCUGCUCUGAAAGCCCGGGGCUCAACCCCGGGAGGCGGGUGGAUACUGCUCAGCUCGAGUCCGGAAGAGGCGAGUGGAAUUCCUGGUGUAGCGGUGGAAUGCGCAGAUAUCAGGAGGAACACCAAUAGCGAAGGCAGCUCGCUGGGACGGUACUGACGCUAAGGCGCGAAAGCGUGGGGAGCGAACAGG